rnacentral:rRNA from 1 species
UACGUAGGGUGCAAGCGUUGUCCGGAAUUAUUGGGCGUAAAGAGCUCAUAGGCGGUCUGUCACGUCGGCUGUGAAAACCCGAGGCUCAACCUCGGGCCUGCAGUCGAUACGGGCAGACUAGAGUUCGGUAGGGGAGACUGGAAUUCCUGGUGUAGCGGUGAAAUGCGCAGAUAUCAGGAGGAACACCGGUGGCGAAGGCGGGUCUCUGGGCCGAAACUGACGCUGAGGAGCGAAAGCGUGGGGAGCGAACAGG